rnacentral:pre_miRNA from 1 species
ACAACAACAUUCGGACCGUCGGUCCACCGAGCAAUAUCACCCGCUCGGUGGAAGAUCUUCUCUUUGUCGUAUACC